CUCCAGACUCCUAAGGGAGGCAGCAGUGGGGCCUCUUGCACAAUGGGCGCAAGCCUGAUGCCGCCAUGCCGCGUGUAUGAAGAAGGCCUUCGGGUUGUAACGUACUUUCAGCGGGGAGGAAGGCGAUACGGUUAAUAACCUUGUCGAUUGACGUUACCCGCAGAAGAAGCACCGGCUAACUCCGUGCCAGCAGCCGCGGUAAUACGGAGGGUGCAAGCGUUAAUCGGAAUUACUGGGCGUAAAGCGCACGCAGGCGGUCUGUCAAGUCGGAUGUGAAAUCCCCGGGCUCAACCUGGGAACUGCAUUCGAAGCUGGCAGGCUGGAGUCUUGUAGAGGGGGGUAGAAUUCGAGGUGUAGCGGUGAAAUGCGUAGAGAUCUGGAGGAAUACCGGUGGCGAAGGCGGCCCCCUGGACAAAGACUGACGCUCAGGUGCGAAAGCGUGGGGAGCAAACAGGAUUAGAUACCCUAGUA
rnacentral:rRNA from 1 species